UACGUAGGGUGCGAGCGUUAAUCGGAAUUACUGGGCGUAAAGCGUGCGCAGGCGGUUAUGCAAGACAGAGGUGAAAUCCCCGGGCUCAACCUGGGAACUGCCUUUGUGACUGCAUAGCUAGAGUACGGCAGAGGGGGAUGGAAUUCCGCGUGUAGCAGUGAAAUGCGUAGAUAUGUGGAGGAACACCGAUGGCGAAGGCAAUCCCCUGGGCCUGUACUGACGCUCAUGCACGAAAGCGUGGGGAGCAAACAGG
rnacentral:rRNA from 1 species